GCACGCAAAUUACCCACUCCCGGCACGGGGAGGUAGUGACAAAAAAUAACGAUACGGGACUCAUCCGAGGCCCCGUAAUCGGAAUGAGUACACUUUAAAACAUUUAACAAGUACCAAAUGGAGGGCAAGUCUGGUGCCAGCAGCCGCGGUAAUUCCAGCUCCAUUAGCGUAUAUUAAAGUUGUUGCGGUUAAAAAGCUCGUAGUUGGUUCUGUGUCCCGCGCUGCCGGUUCACCGCCUGCCGGUGCAACUGGCAUGCCGCGGGAUGUACUGUCGGUGGCGUCCCCCAUCCCCGGCGCGUGUAGGCUAACGCCGAAGCGCGCCGGUGCGCGUGAGGGACGCCGAUCUAAUCCUGCCGCGGUGCUCUUCAGUGAGUGUCGAGGUAGGCCGACACGUUUACUUUGAACAAAUUAGAGUGCUUAAAGCAGGCUAACAAUGCCUGUAUACCUGGGCAUGGAAUAAUGGAAUAGGACCUCGGUUCUAUUUUGUUGGUUUCCUGAACCCGAGGUAAUGAUCAAUAUGGACAGGCGGGGGCAUUCGUAUUGCGACGUUAGACUUGGCAAAUGCUUUCGCGGUGAAAUUCUUGGAUCGUCGCAAGACGGACUAGAGCGAAAGCAUUUGCCAAGUAUGUCUUAGUUGAUCAAGAACGAAAGUUAGAGGUUCGAAGGCGAUCAGAUACCGCCCUAGUUCUAACCAUAAACGAUGCCAGCCAGCGAUCCGCCGAUGUUCCUCCGAUGACUCGGCGGGCAGCUUCCCGGGAAACCAAAGCUUUUGGGUUCCGGGGGAAGUAUGGUUGCAAAGCUGAAACUUAAAGGAAUUGACGGAAGGGCACCACCAGGAGUGGAGCCUGCGGCUUAAUUUGACUCAACACGGGAAACCUCACCAGGCCCAGACAUUGGAAGGAUUGACAGAUUGAUAGCUCUUUCUUGAUUCAGUGGGUAGUGGUGCAUGGCCGUUCUUAGUUGGUGGAACGAUUUGUCUGGUUAAUUCCGAUAACGAACGAGACUCUAGCCUACUAAAUAGGCGGAACCGGUAUCCCUAUCUACCGGCGAGUCCAAUUCUUCUU
rnacentral:rRNA from 2 species